ensembl:lncRNA
AGAGUUCUGGUUUAGAGAGAGCUCUGGUUUAGAGAGAGCUCUGGUUAAGAGAGAGCUCUGGUUUAGAGAGAGCUCUGGUUUAGAGAGCUCUGGUUAGGAGAGAGCUCUGGUUUAGAGAGAGCUCCGGUUAGGAGAGAGCGGUUAGGAGGUAGGACUGUUCCGUUAGGAGGUAGGACCGUUCCGUUAGGAGGGAGGACUGUUCCGUUAGGAGGGAGGAACGUUCUGUUAGGAGGUAGGACUGUACCGUUAGGAGGUAGGACUGUUCCGUUAGGAGGUAGGACCGUUCCGUUAGGAGGUAGGACUGUUCCAUUAGGAGGUAGGACCGGUCCGUUAGGAGGUAGGACCGGUCCGUUAGGAGGUAGGACACUUCCGUUAGGAGGUACGACCGUUCCGUUAGGAGGUAGGACCGUUCCGUUAGGAGGUAGGACUGUUCCGUUAGGAGUUAGGACCGUUCUGUUAGGAGGUAGGACACUUCCGUUAGGAGGUAGGACACUUCCGUUAGGAGGUAGGAUACAUCCGUUAGGAGGUAGGACUGUUCCGUUAGGAGGUAGGACACUUCGGUUAGGAGGUAGGACUGUUCCGUUAGGAGGUAGGACACUUCGGUUAGAAGGUAGGACCGUUCCGUUAGGAGGUAGGACCGUUCCGUUAGGAGGUAGGACACUUCCGUUAGAAGGUAGGACACUUCCGUUAGAAGGUAGGACCGUUCUGUUAGGAGGUAGGACCGUUCCGUUAGGAGGUAGGACUGUUCCGUUAGGAGGUAGGACCGGUCCGUUAGGAGGUAGGACCGUUCUGUUAGGAGGGAGGACACUUCCGUUAGGAGGUAGGACCGUUCUGUUAGGAGGUAGGACACUUCCGUUAGGAGGUAGGAUACAUCCGUUAGGAGGUAGGACUGUUCCGUUAGGAGGCAGGACACUUCGGUUAGGAGGUAGGACUGUUCCGUUAGGAGGUAGGACACUUCGGUUAGAAGGUAGGACCGGUCCGUUAGGAGGUAGGACUGUUCGGUUAGGAGGUAGAACCGUUCCGUUAGGAGGUAGGACACUUCCGUUAGAAGGUAGGACCGUUCCAUUAGGAGGUAGGACUGUUCCGUUAGGAGGUAGGACACUUCCGUUAGGAGGUAGGACCGUUCCGUUAGGAGGGAGGACCGUUCCGUUAGGAGGGAGGACACUUCCGUUAGGAGGUAGGACCGUUCUGUUAGGAGGUAGGACACUUCCGUUAGGAGGUAGGAUACAUCCGUUAGGAGGUAGGACUGUUCCGUUAGGAGGUAGGACACUUCGGUUAGGAGGUAGGACUGUUCCGUUAGGGGGUAGGACACUUCGGUUAGAAGGUAGGACCGGUCCGUUAGGAGGUAGGACUGUUCCGUUAGGAGGUAGGACCGUUCCGUUAGGAGGUAGGACUGUUCCGUUAGGAGGCAGGACCGUUCCGUUAGGAGGUAGGACUGUUCCGUUAGGAGGUAGGACUGUUCCAUUAGGAGGUAGGACCGUUCCGUUAGGAGGUAGGACACUUCCGUUAGGAUGUAGGACUGUUCGGUUAGGAGGUAGGACCGUUCCGUUAGGAGGGAGGACCGUUCCGUUAGGAGGUAG